rnacentral:rRNA from 1 species
AACGAACGCUGGCGGCAUGCCUAACACAUGCAAGUCGAACGAGACCUUCGGGUCUAGUGGCGCACGGGUGCGUAACGCGUGGGAACCUGCCCUUAGGUUCGGAAUAACUCCCCGAAAGGGGUGCUAAUACCGGAUAAUGUCUUCGGACCAAAGAUUUAUCGCCUUUGGAUGGGCCCGCGUUGGAUUAGCUAGUUGGUAGGGUAAAAGCCUACCAAGGCGACGAUCCAUAGCUGGUCUGAGAGGAUGAUCAGCCACACUGGGACUGAGACACGGCCCAGACUCCUACGGGAGGCAGCAGGUGGGAAUAUUGGACAAUGGGCGAAAGACUGAUCCAGCAAUGCCGCGUGAGUGAUGAAGGCCUUAGGGUUGUAAAGCUCUUUUACCCGGGAUGAUAAUGACAGUACCGGGAGAAUAAGCUCCGGCUAACUCCGUG